UAGGGAAUCUUCCGCAAUGGACGAAAGUCUGACGGAGCAACGCCGCGUGAGCGAAGAAGGUCUUCGGAUUGUAAAGCUCUGUUGUUAGGGAAGAACAAGUGCGGUUCGAAUAGGGCCGUACCUUGACGGUACCUAACGAGAAAGCCACGGCUAACUACGUGCCAGCAGCCGCGGUAAUAA
rnacentral:rRNA from 1 species